rnacentral:rRNA from 1 species
UACGGAGGGGGCUAGCGUUAUUCGGAAUUACUGGGCGUAAAGCGCACGUAGGCGGAUUGGAAAGUCAGAGGUGAAAUCCCAGGGCUCAACCUUGGAACUGCCUUUGAAACUCCCAGUCUUGAGGUCGAGAGAGGUAAGUGGAAUUCCGAGUGUAGAGGUGAAAUUCGUAGAUAUUCGGAGGAACACCAGUGGCGAAGGCGGCUUACUGGCUCGAUACUGACGCUGAGGUGCGAAAGCGUGGGGAGCAAACAGG